CUGCAUGAAAACAAAAUAAAAAGAGUGUGUCGAUAAGUGUGCUUUAUUUAUCUGCUAAAGUAGUAAUCUCUAGAAAAAUAAAAAUACUAAAAAGAUGCAUGAUGGAAAUGAUGAACAGUUGCUCUGUUUGCUUAUUUGCAAGUACCUAGCUUUCAAGUUAGAGUUCUCCCAAGAAUUACUAAAACUAAAAUUAAAUAUUUAUGGGAGCAUGAGCCUAAAACUACAGUCUAGGUAAGAGAACGACAUGAUAUAAAGUUUGAGCUACUGUUUAUCUUGUUCUUACUACACUAAGUUCUGAAGAUUUAUUUUGAAAACUUGAAAAAUCACAUGAUGAGUUCCUAACAUGACAAAAUACCUACCACAACCAUUCUUGCCAUAACAUCUUUUGCUACUUAUAUUGACAUUGAGUUUGAUCGAGCUGUGUAGACCCUUAGAAGCUUUUCAUGUGGUUAAAUUAAGAUAUUCACUUGCACACAUCUACUACACCAUCUACCACCAUUCAUUAAAAUUGCUGAAAAUAUUAUCACUCACUGUCCCAAGUGUUGUUAUUCUCUCUCUCCAAAAAGAUUCAAUGCAGAAGAGGCAUGGGUUAUGCAAAAAUAUGCAAGGAAAUAAAAAGGGGCAAGUGCCCGGAAACUCGAAAAAAGAAAGAAAAAGAGUGAGAUGAGAGGUAAAAAUGGACAAGUGUCCGGAGUAGAAUUAGGGGUACAAAGAUGCCCACCUGAGCAGAAAAAAUGGACAAAUGUCCGACAGUAGAAUUAGGAGUAUUUACUACCCACCUGAAAAAAGAGAGAAAAGAAAAAGAUAGCCCAUGUUCUCCCAAAGCAAAGAUCAAAGAGGAGGAGAGAUAGCAAUAUGAGGAACAAUGAGAAGUAAGUUUUAUCAUUACUUAUAUUUAUUCCACCACACAUGCACAUCAUGAUUUAACUAUAUGCUGAGUUCCUUCGGAUCCAUGGCUCGAUUAGACAACAUAUGUAUGAGCUGUUUUUCACACCUAUGAGCUUCACAUAAACAUUUCUUUAGUUAUAGGUAAGUGACAUUUUUAGUAAGGAUCCACAAAUACCAUAUAUAGAGAGACUUGAGAGAAUCAUAGCUGGGAACUCUGAGUUUUAUUUUUGAAAACUUAUGCAAAACUCCAGAACAAAGGUGAAGUAUAGACAGGAGGAAUAGUGCUUGACUUAAUUAUUUUGUCUUUCAAUUACUCAAGACUUAAGUGCAGGUACUAAGCUCCAUGACACUUCACUCUAAUCUGAGAGAAUUUUCAUAUGAAAGCAUGUGUGCCUGUCAGGAAAGAAAACAUCGAAGCAACACCUGAUCCAUCUGAGUUUAGCUAUUUGCUCAGGGACGAGCAAAGGGUAAGCUUGGGGGAGUUUGUUGACGGUCC
rnacentral:lncRNA from 1 species